rnacentral:sRNA from 1 species
GAAUAAAUAAAUAAGUCGACCAACAAAACUAAGAAUGACUAACAAUCCUAACACAACUCUAACAGGAUUCCAAUAACCAAAACACAAAAAUAAACCAAACGAGUUCCUUGAUCAUCCUCUCUUCCUUGCCAUGAUUCCACGAUCACACUUUCUCUUUACCU